AGCAGCCGCGGUAAUUCCAGCUCCAAUAGCGUAUAUUAAAGUUGUUGCAGUUAAAAAGCUCGUAGUUGAAUUUCGGGGUCAGUAGGUUGGUCAUGCCACUGGUAUGUACUGGUCUCACUGAUUCCUCCUUCCUGAUGAACCGUAAUGCCAUUAAUUUGGUGUUGCGGGGAGACUGGACUGUUACUUUGAAAAAAUUAGAGUGUUUAAAGUAGGCUAACGCUUGAAUACAUUAGCAUGGAAUAAUGAAAUAGGACGUUCGAUCCUAUUUUGUUGGUUUCUAGGAUUGACGUAAUGAUUAAUAGGGAUAGUUGGGGGCAUUAGUAUUCAAUUGUCAGAGGUGAAAUUCUUGGAUUUAUUGAAGACUAACUACUGCGAAAGCAUUUGCCAAGGAUGUUUUCAUUAAUCAAGAACGAAAGUUAGGGGAUCGAAGACGAUCAGAUACCGUCGUAGUCUUAACCAUAAACUAUGCCGACUAGGGAUCGGACGAUGUUAAUUUUAUAAUGACUCAUUCGGCGCCUUA
rnacentral:rRNA from 1 species